UGUGGCUGGAAGGAGAAUUCAACUCUAUUCAGUACAAUAUUGCCGGAAUAUCAGACUGUGGGGUGCUUUUGAAGCAUCAAGAUCACUAGCUUCCAUGGGUUCGCUUAUGGGCUAGCCUUGAGCUCUGUAGUCUAUGGUAUAUUCCAGGAUAAGUUAUAUCGGCAAUAUUUGUGCGAGGAGUGCAUUUUCUCAUCUUCCGAGCUCGAGCCUCGACCGGUGUUAUGGAUAAGUUACUUAGUUACUUAUCAUACCAGUGUUACCAUAGAAAGGUAUGCUAACACCAUACCUGAUCUGAUUCCAGUUAUCAAAACUACUGUAACUCCUUGCGUGCUACAGACUAGUUUUGAGCUGGGAAAGGUACCUAUGGGUAACAUAUACACUGGACAUGAAUCUCUGGCAUAUGCAGGGUCAUACUAUUGCCUACCUAUAUAUAUACUCAGUAUAUCCGGAUAGUAUUUCGCUAUUAGACUUAGUUUAUGUACUCAGUGCAAAAACGGUUUAUGGUUAUAUUAUUCCUUUGGUGGUAUGCUGUAUAUGUACGGUAUGGUGAACUAAUGAUAUGAUUCGGAGGCAAGUAGAUCGGUACUCUAUCCGACCCGUCUUGAAACACGGACCAAGGAGUCUAACAUGUAUGCAAGCCGAACAGUCUUGAAUAAGCUGUGAAGGCGAAUUGAAAGAAAUAUAUAUAUGGGUAUGAUGUGAUACUAUUUCAUUAUACACGAAAGUGUAUAAUGUUAGUUCACCGCAAUACCGGCCCGUGAGAUAUCCUCCUUACCGAGAUACUUGCGGAGCUAUAGUAUAUAUGUUAGUACCCGAAAGAUGGUGAACUAUGCCCGGGCAAGAUGAAGCCAGAGGAAACUCUGGUGGAGGUCUGUAGCGAUUCUGACGUGCAAAUCGAUCGUCAGAUCUCGGGUAUAGGGGCGAAAGACUAAUCGAAC
rnacentral:rRNA from 1 species